rnacentral:lncRNA from 1 species
AUCAUGAUGCUUUUCAUGAACGGCGUCGUGGAUUCGACGUGAACGAAGGCGGUUCGUGGAUUCAAAUCGUCGGCUCGUGGAUUCGAGUGGGCGUCGUGGAUUCGACGUGAUCGAGGCUUCGUGGAAUCGAAGUGGUGACGUUUCGUGGAUUCGGAACAUGGCGUUCGUGGAUUCGAACGUGAGGGCGUGGACAACCCGGAGGAUUGUGCGAGAUUCAUAGAAGGUUAAGAGAGGUUGAGUCCGUGGAGUCGGUAAUCACCUUGUAAUCUUUUCUCUUAGUGAAUUAUUUUUUUCGCGUGUUGGUUCCGUGGGUUUUUCUCCAAGUUGGAGUUUUCUCAUGUAAAUCUCGGUGUGAUUUUUAU